UACGUAGGGGGCUAGCGUUGUCCGGAUUUAUUGGGCGUAAAGAGCGUGUAGGCGGCCAGGUAGGUCGCUGUGAAAACUCGAGGCUCAACCUCGAGACGCCGGUUGAAACCAUCUGGCUAGAGUCCGGAAGAGGAGAGUGGAAUUCCUGGUGUAGCGGUGAAAUGCGCAGAUAUCAGGAAGAACACCCGUGGCUAAGGCGGCUCUCUAGUACGGUACUGACGCUGAGACGCGAAAGCGUGGGGAGCGAACAGG
rnacentral:rRNA from 1 species